AGCAGCCGCGGUAAUUCCAGCUCCAAUAGCGUAUAUUAAAGUUGUUGCGGUUAAAAAGCUCGUAGUUGAAUUUCGGGAUUGACACAUCGGUCGUGCCUUAAGGGGUAUGAACUGGUGUAGUCAAUUUCUCACCUUCUGGAGAACCGCGAUGCCCUUAAUUGGGUGUCGCGGGGAACCAGGACCUUUACUUUGAAAAAAUUAGAGUGUUUAAAGCAGGCAUUUUGCUUGAAUACAUUAGCAUGGAAUAAUAAAAUAGGACGGCAUGAUUCUAUUUUGUUGGUUUCUAGGAUCACCGUAAUGAUUAAUAGGGAUAGUUGGGGGCAUUAGUAUUCAAUUGUCAGAGGUGAAAUUCUUGGAUUUAUUGAAGACUAACUACUGCGAAAGCAUUUGCCAAGGAUGUUUUCAUUAAUCAAGAACGAAAGUUAGGGGAUCGAAGACGAUCUGAUACCGUCGUAGUCUUAACCAUAAACUAUGCCGA
rnacentral:rRNA from 1 species